CCAACGGCAACGUGACUUGGACGCGAAUGUUUUAACUAGCGCUUUUUGGAUGGAAUAUACUGAAUUUUUCAAGUAAAAUAUCUUGCUAUGUGUGAGGUGAGAAGUAUAGCACAAUAAUCAAAACCAACUGAAGCGAAAAAAGAAAGGUAAGGCUAGUUUCGAUGAUGCAAUUUUCAGUACAACGGUCGUGUAGUCAUACGGUAAUAAAGACCGUAUAUAAAGAUGGCUGCAUUUCUUGAUCAGUUUUAUUCGGUUUUAUUUUGAUAUUUUAGAAGGUUCUGCCUUCAACUUGAUCCUGUAGGUGCGUGGUUGAGAAGCAAGAAGUAGUACACGAGUCAAAACCAAAGCAAAGGCAACGGGAAAGGUAAGGAGUCUACAGACUUUUAAUGUCAUUUUAAUACAUCGAC